GUGUUGUACAGAAGAGAACAGCUUUCACUCCUUUUGGCAAGGAUGGACAAAACCCUUGGUGCUGAUAAUGUGUAUAUGCUUAAUGCGCUGCCAACCAUUUUGUGGUGUUUAAACAUUGCAUUCU
ensembl:snRNA